UACGUAGGGGGCUAGCGUUGUCCGGAAUCAUUGGGCGUAAAGCGCGUGUAGGCGGCCCGGUAAGUCCGCUGUGAAAGUCGGGGGCUCAACCCUGGGAUGCCGGUCGAUACUGCCGGACUAGAGUUCGGAAGAGGCGAGUGGAAUUCCCGGUGUAGCGGUGAAAUGCGCAGAUAUCGGGAGGAACACCUAUGGCGAAGGCAGCUCGCUGGGACGUUACUGACGCUGAGACGCGAAAGCGUGGGGAGCAAACAGG
rnacentral:rRNA from 1 species